CCUGGCGGCUAUAGAGAAAUGGAACCACCUGAUCCCAUCCCGAACUCAGAAGUGAAACGUUUCAUCGCCGAUGGUAGUGUGGGGUUUCCCCAUGUGAGAGUAGGUCACCGCCAGGCACUUAAU
rnacentral:rRNA from 1 species